rnacentral:lncRNA from 1 species
AUGGGGCGGGACUCGGUCGUGAAGGGGCCUUCCUCGGUCUGGCGCAGUUCCCCCACGGGAUUCUGUAAAGCUCUUAGCUGUGCCAAAUUUUGUACAAACAGAGGAAUCAGUUCCCUUUCCAAAGACCUGCCAUACAGCUUAAAGAUGGCGGUGAACUGCAAGCAUGGCAAGAACUUUGUAGUGCUUAUUUGGAAGAAGCCAGUGGAUAGCCAGCUGCUUUGCAUUAUUCAGGUGGAAGAAGGAACAAAGUCAUUUUGGUCUGGAAUACAGUGGGAGCUGCAGGAGCAGGGACAGCACACUGCUUCAGCCUCAGUCAUGACGUCCCUGAGAGGUAAUACUUGUGAGAAGCAGGAGCCUGAUGAGUGUUGAAUGCAACUCAGAUUCCUGGGUAACUGGAAGUUUUAACCUAAGCAUUUUGCCCAUGGCAGAAGAAAAGCUGUGCUGCCAGAGAUCUGCCCUGCCCUGGAACAACCCAGAGCUGGAUGCUGGAGCAGGCACAUGCUCUCCUUUCUUCCAAUGCAUCCUUCCCACUGCCGGAAGCCAGCUGCACUGGGAUUUCCUUAUCCAGAGACCAUGUUUGUGUUUUUGUGUUUAACAGCUCGCGGCGGACUUCUCUUCCAUGAAUUGGACUAAUCUUUCCACUUAUAUUUUUGGCUGCCAUAACAUCCGAUGGUAAUGAAUUCCACAGUGUAGCUAUGCAGUUUGUGAAAGAAUAUAUAUAUCUUUCCCCUCCUCUCCACAUCUUGUACUGUGGAAACAAAGAAGAAAUGCUCUGUUUGCCAUCUCCCAGUAUAAUUCAGGCUGUCACACUCUCACUGGAGUUAGUGGUUGUGUCAUCACUUGAACAAGCCAAGGGCUUCUACUGAUUGCUUUUUCUUUUUUUUCCUUUUUGCAUGGAAGUGAAACUUCUUUAUUUCUCCCUGAUAUCAAUAAAAAAAAUCAAAGAUGUGGAUUCC